CACUUGCGGAAGUCUCUCCUAGUACAGAUCCAGUCGUCCCCCAUGCUAUUAACAUUUGGAUAUCAACUUAAAAGAGAUUUCUUUGUUGCUCAGGAAGACGUAUAGAGGAUUUCUGUGAAUGACCCAACACAACCAGCAAACGUGGUGGCAGCUGAAGAGCCCCAAGAUGCUUUGUUUGUACAGGCAAGUGGCCCUUGGGUCUCUUUCCUCUUUUAGGAACAAAGGAAUCUGCCUUAUACCGACUCAGGCCAUUUGGUA